UACGGAGGGUGCAAGCGUUAAUCGGAAUUACUGGGCGUAAAGCGCGCGCAGGCGGUCUUCCAAGUCAGUGGUGAAAGCCCGGAGCUCAACUCCGGAACUGCCAUUGAAACUGUAAGACUUGAGGAUGAGAGAGGUGAGUGGAAUUCCCAGUGUAGAGGUGAAAUUCGUAGAUAUUGGGAAGAACACCGGUGGCGAAGGCGGCUCACUGGCUCAUAUCUGACGCUCAGGCGCGACAGCGUGGGGAUCAAACAGG
rnacentral:rRNA from 1 species